AACGAACGCUGGCGUCAUGCCUAACACAUGCAAGUCGAGCGAGAUCUUCGGGUCUAGUGGCGCACGGGUGCGUAACGCGUGGGAAUCUGCCCUUUGGUUCGGAAUAACAGUUGGAAACGACUGCUAAUACCGGAUGAUGACGAAAGUCCAAAGAUUUAUCGCCAGAGGAUGAGCCCGCGUAAGAUUAGCUAGUUGGUGUGGUAAAGGCGCACCAAGGCGACGAUCCUUAGCUGGUCUGAGAGGAUGAUCAGCCACACUGGGACUGAGACACGGGCCAGACUCCUACGGGAGGCAGCAGUGGGGAAUAUUGGACAAUGGGCGAAAGCCUGAUCCAGCAAUGCCGCGUGAGUGAUGAAGGCCUUAGGGUUGUAAAGCUCUUUUACCCGGGAUGAUAAUGACAGUACCGGGAGAAUAAGCUCCGGCUAACUCCGUGCCAGCAGCCGCAGUAA
rnacentral:rRNA from 1 species